CACGUAGGAGGCGAGCGUUGUCCGGAAUCAUUGGGCGUAAAGAGCGCGCAGGCGGCCCGGCAAGUCGGGUGUGAAAUCCCGGGGCUCAACCCCGGGACUGCAUUCGAUACUGUCGGGCUAGAGGUAGGUAGGGGAGAUCGGAAUUCCUGGUGUAGCGGUGAAAUGCGCAGAUAUCGGGAGGAACACCAAUGGCGAAGGCAGCUCGCUGGGACGUUACUGACGCUGAGGCGCGAAAGCUAGGGGAGCGAACGGG
rnacentral:rRNA from 1 species